GACGAACGCUGGCGGCGUGCUUAACACAUGCAAGUCGAACGCUGAAGCUCAGCUUUUGUUGGGUGGAUGAGUGGCGAACGGGUGAGUAACACGUGAGUAACCUGCCCCCUUCUUUGGGAUAACGCCCGGAAACGGGUGCUAAUACUGGAUAUUCACUGGUCUUCGCAUGGGGGUUGGUGGAAAGGGUUUUUCUGGUGGGGGAUGGGCUCGCGGCCUAUCAGCUUGUUGGUGGGGUGAUGGCCUACCAAGGCUUUGACGGGUAGCCGGCCUGAGAGGGUGACCGGUCACAGUGGGACUGAGAUACGGCCCAGACUCCGACGGGAGGCAGCAGUGGGGAAUAUUGCACAAUGGGCGCAAGCCUGAUGCAGCGACGCCGCGUGAGGGAUGGAGGCCUUCGGGUUGUGAACCUCUUUCGCUCAUGGUCAAGCCGCAACAAUGGUUGUGGUGAGGGUAGUGGGUAAAGAAGCGCCGGCUAACUACGUG
rnacentral:rRNA from 1 species